CUGGACAACCAAGAACAAUCCUAGAAUGUUUGGAGUUCCAUUGAAGGUUAAAGCAAAACUAAUUUGGAUGCCAAAAAGUGAUUCAGAAAGAUCCUUCUUCUAGAGGUAGAAAUGGACCACACAUCUUAGAAGAACCAAUUUCAAACUUAAAGCGUAUUAAAGUAAUUGGACACACUCUUCAAUAUCACAACCUUCGGUCUUUCUAGCUUCAGGAACAAGCUUCUCGCAAGCUAUCAGCCCACUGUCUCCUUAGAACAGAAUAAAGGGGCUUGGGUAGCUCGAAGCAAAUGCACAGGAAACAUGAGUUUUUCUGGCAGCUCUGGGAACCUGAGCUGAGGCAACCAUCUCUCUACUCUCGGUAAAUCAUUCCAUACGUUUUAAGUGCCAGGAAACAAGGGGACCCCUCCCUGAGCAACCUUCCAUUAUACAAAGAAAAUGGCUAUUUAUCACCCAAUGCCUGACAAAGAUCCAUUGCUAAGUCUGUAAUAAAUAUGACCCAAUCCAAAUGUGAAGAAUCUAUGGCUUUGUCAGAAUUCUUUAUUCUCUUCCACAUUAAUGUCACUUCUAUUAUGCCCUCAAAUCCAGAAGAGUCCAGGCAUCAGCAUUUGGGGAAUGAGCACAGAGGUGUUUCAAUGGCCACAGAGAUUGCAGCGUUUGAGAAACAAAAGCGAAGACACAUGUUUGGGUUUCAUGCAAUCCAUCUUUACUCAUCCUGGGAAAAUAGUUUCUUAGCAGGACGCCACUCACUUCUAACUCAUAAAGAAAGUACACGUACACGCCGUCUUUCCCAGGAUGGGGAGUGGGACUUGUACGCACCCAGAUGCGAGGCGGCAUGGUCCACACGGUCAGAGCAGCUGACUACGGUCACAACUGUCUUCCAAGUUCCAGCUCUGCAUUUCUGCUUGUAAGUCUCUGCCACACUGAAAACCCAGUACUGAACAUCUGGAACUAAAUUCACCAUGGCCACCCUCCCCGCUGCCUGCUGCCCCCCGCAUAGAAGUCAACCCCUCUACUGACCUCUUCUUCUGUGUGUUGAUGGCAUAUGCACCACUUAAUGACCCAGAGCUUACAAGAUCAUUCGUCAACGAUGAGGUUGCUAUUCAGACUGGCAUCUCACUCCUACGGUCACUAGAAUUCCAGCAUCUGCAGCGACUCUUCUCGCUCCACCUUCCCACCACCACCCAGGCGCUGCACCUGAGCUGCGCUCCUUCCCUUGCCAUCCUGCUGACUGCCUUCCGGUCUAUUUUCUAUGAUGCCUUUGCUAAUCCUAAUCCUCCUGGUAACAAAUGUUACCCACCUUGCAACAUCCAGCUCAGGGAUCCUAGGACCUGGUACAACUGAUUGGGGUCAGGACACUCAUCUGACAUACAGCGUCCACCCCCUUGUAGCAUUUAAAGAGCAACACACACAUUUUAACUUUAAACAUUAAGACACACAGCACUGUAGGACAUUUUGAAAAUAUAGGUAAGUCUACAUUAAGUGAAUCACCAAUAAUCCAAAUGCCCAGUGUUCAUAUUCCAGAGUAUUCCCUCCUGAUCUGUUAGAGUUAUUUAAAAAACAAAACUGGUUAUCAGCUUGCUCUCCUUAUUUAGCACAACACUGCAAACAUUUCCUCAAGCAUUAAAUAUGCUCUUAAAAUGUGAUGUUUUGGGGCAUCUGGGUGGCUCAGUCUGUUGAGCGACCAACUCUGAUUUUGGCUCAGGUCACGAUCUCAGGAUCAUAGGAUCGAGCCCCACGUCGGAGCCUGCGUGAGAGU